rnacentral:rRNA from 1 species
GACGAACGCUGGCGGCGUGCUUAACACAUGCAAGUCGAACGGGAGGAAAAGAGAAGCUUGCUUCUUUUUGAAUCUAGUGGCAAACGGGUGAGUAACACGUAAACAACCUGCCUUCAGGAUGGGGACAACAGACGGAAACGACUGCUAAUACCGAAUGUGUUCCGGAGACCGCAUGAUUUCCGGAAGAAAGGAUGGCCUCUAUUUAUAAGCUAUCGCCUGAAGAGGGGUUUGCGUCUGAUUAGGCAGUUGGUGAGGUAACGGCCCACCAAACCUACGAUCAGUAGCCGGUCUGAGAGGAUGAACGGCCACACUGGAACUGAGACACGGUCCAGACUCCUACGGGAGGCAGCAGUGGGGAAUCUUCCGCAAUGGACGAAAGUCUGACGGAGCAACGCCGCGUGAGUGAUGACAGCCUUCGGGUUGUAAAGCUCUGUGAUCGGGGACGAAUGGCUGGUAUGCUAAUACCAUAUCAGAGUGACGGUAC